rnacentral:lncRNA from 1 species
UGCCAUAUAAGCAUUUCAUCAAGAAUUUCAUGGUUAUGUUACAUGUUACAUGAUACAAGUUUCCAACAAUUUUUCCUCUUCCAUGAAGCUUCAUUUCCAUGGUUUUAUCUUCACUUUCCAAUGUCGCCUCGAGCCCAUUCUUUCACCCCAAUGCUAACCUUUCUACAAAGAAGAAGAUACACCAAAUUAAUUAUCAAUAUCAUGGAUUAAAACCAUCAAAAGUCACCAAAAAGUCAUGAUAAAAAUUCGGCACUUAGGAAAAAUUCAGCACUUAGGAACAAUUCUGCAUUAUAAUCUUUGUUUUUUCAACAUUUUUCAACUUUAUUUUAAGGCAUUUCAUGCACAAAAUAUCCGAUUUUUGAUCCAUGAAUUUACACAACUCAAAAGUGACAAAAAUCCAAAGUAAAUCAAAGUAAAUUCAAUCCAAUUUCAAGUUCUAACCAAGUGACCAUUUUAUCUUAUCCCCUAACUUGGUACUUCUUCAAAAACCAAACAUGAAUGGUCUCUAACUACCCUUAACUACCUAUUUCUCCACAAAUCACGCAUUUACCUAAUUACACCUAACUUCUCUAACUACUAAACUAACACAAUUUCUAACUUCUAAUUUUCAACUAAAUUUCAUUUAAUCCCAACCGUUCUUAAUGCUUGAUCUGAGGGUUAUAAUUAGUGAUCCGCAAAUUGAGCUUAAGUUAAUUUUCAAUCAUUGAUAAAAGCUUUACUUGGAUCAUAAUCCAAAGAUUCACAAUCAUUCACAAAAAACUAUAUAAACAUAUCAUUUUUCACAAAUUUGGGGUUAACCACUUUGAACUACUAUUAACCACCAUAACUACUUUUUACCACCAUUUUCUACACUCUCUCUUUUCCACUCCCUAACCUCCACCAAAGUUAAUUUUUAUCACCACGUUAGAACUUCACAUUGAAGUUCUAAGUUGGUGGAACUUAGCCACAUUCUAUCAACAAUUCACCAUUCAAUUCCAAGCAUAAUCAUCAAAAUUUCAACAAUUUUCAACAAUUCAAGAAAAUUCAUCAUCAAGAAUUCAUCAAUUUCAAUCAUCAAGAUUCAAGCACAUCCAUCAAAUUCUAUAUUCAACCAUUAUUGAUCAAGCUUGAGAAUUAAUGGAAGAGUAAGAGUUUACCUCUCGAAGUUUUCCAUUUCUCUUCGACACGUCGUCCGCAAGCAACUUCUAACCGGAACAAAUCUCCGUCCGUUGGUAAUUCUUCAUCUUUUCCUUUCCAUACCAUUGCCAUGAAUGCUUGGGUGAAAAAUUCUUGUUGAAUGCAUGUUGUAGAGCCUUAAUUUAUCCUCCUGUCUAGAACAACUUAUUCAAUAAGCACUUUUUUAUUUAUUCAAAAAACCAUAUUCAAGUAGCAAAAAAAAAUCAACAUAGAAGUUUCUAACAUAGUUUUUGCAUAGAAGUGAAUUAGGCAUUGCAUUAUCAUGGAUUCAAGCAUAUAAUAUGAAGCAACUUAGUAAGCAAUUUUUUUUUGAAUUUCAACAACCGAAACCAAACCCUACUCAUAGUAUUACCUUAAAAUUGAUACUAGAAUCUUAAAACCCAUAGAAAAUCUAACAUAAAAUUUGUCUUUUUAUAAUUUUUGAGCAAAAUUGGAUUUGUGCAUUUUUACCUUCAUGAGCAAUUAAUGGAGAAACAUAGAGGAGAAGAUGAGAGAA